AUAUUUACCUGGCAGGGGAGAUUCCAUAAUCACAAAGGUGGUUUUCCCAGGUCGAGGCUUAUCCAUUGCACUCUGGAUGUGCUGACCCCUGCGAUUUCCCCAAAUGUGGGAAACGACUGCAUAAUUUGUGGUAGUGGGGGACUGCGUUCGUGCUCUCCCCGG